rnacentral:lncRNA from 1 species
UUUGCGAAGCUGCUGCAUUCUUUUGUCCCUUGUGGAAAUGAGCUACAUUCUUGCUAUGGGCAGAUUGUGGAUGUGCCAAGGAUGAAGAGAAAUCUUUUUUAGCAGAAUGACCUAGAACAUCCACCGUUCUCGGCGAACUAGAACUGAUCUCAGAAGCAGGCUCUACAUAUAUUGGAUCACUUCCAAUAACCGUCUUCUCUUUCCUUAGAGAAGGAUCCGCUAACCAUGGUACAGGUGCCUCCACUCCAGCAGGGAUAUCCACACUGUCAAAAUAUGCUUGCAACAUUGCAUGAUCUUGGACACCCAUGACAUCAUCAACAACAUUAUCCAUGACAUCAUCAACAACAUUAAAGUGCUGGUCAUAAAAAAAAAUCAAGGUUAGUAAUUCUAGCAAUCCUGAGACAGAACUCUUGGAACACUCCUGAUGGAAAAAUUAAGAAAAAAUAUGAAUGAUAAUAAAGAUAAAAUGCAGAGACAUUUCAUCUGUGGCACAUGGAUAUUCUUACUACACAUAACAUACAAGAAACAGACAUAAUAAUUAAAGAGAAAACCAAUCAAGAACUUGUAUUUUAUUAAGCUGUGAUCACCUGUUUUGCCCUAAUCAACAACUGUCAACCAUACCUUAUGUUGAUAACUAUCAGAACCAUCAGAAUCAUUCUUUAUUGCCUUCCCUUUGUUGCCUGUCUUCGCUAUCUCAUCAACAGCAAUGACAUCAGCAGAAACCUCACCUUCAUCAAGAUCAAUGACUUCGUGAAAGACCUACAAGAGAAUAAUUACUAACAAAAUUUACUCUUAUCAUAUGACAAACAAGGGAACAGAAAACAAACUGGCAGCAGCUCAACAAAACUACACAGGGUCUGAUAAAGGAAGAUAGAGAAGAAUUCUUAUUAUGUGUCCUACAAAUCUUUCACCAAACGUUAAAGAUCUGAUUACAAGGCUUGUAAGCUAUCCUUAAGCAAACCAGACAGAAGAACCACACUCAUUUUCACUAGUAUAAUGUAAUGGUCUUUGAAGGUUCACUUCAAACCACAGAAGAAAUCUAGUUUUUUCCCCUCAUUCAAACAAGAAAGCGUACAUUUCCAAACAUAUCUUUUGAGAUUAAGUGUCAUUUCAUUUUUGUUAUGUUUCUUCUAACAACAACUCAAACCAACAAAGGGUAUGAAUGUUUGCAACUGCUGUGCUUCUCCUUAAUUUUCGGAAGCAAAAAAAUUUUUACUACCCACCCACCCAAUUAUACUUAUUAGCCAGUGAUUUUCGUUUCAUUCUACUCAAAGUGAGUUGUGAAUUAACAGCAACUCAUUCGCAGACAUACCCAAAGAACAAAUAUUCAUACGCUCUUCAUAAAUACCAAAACAAUUAACACUUAUUUGCUGUCAUCAGAAUCAUCAUCGCAUCAAACUAAAUUCAACUCUGAUCGCCAACGCAAAUCCUCAAGGUUAACAACAACAGUAACAGUAAAGAAGAAAACUGAGAUUUCAAAUACUGUAAGCAAUAAAUAAAUAUACAAAUAAAAUAAAUAAGUAAACCUGUUUUUGUUUAUGCCUCGUCGGAGUCUGAAAAACCGGCGGCGGGAUUUCGAUGAUAUCAGGGUCCAUAAGAACUUCUCGUUCGCCGUAGAGAAGGCGCUUCCUGUCUGUUGUUUGUUUGGCUAACUAAGAAAGUGAGCGUAAACGUAACGUUUCACUUAAAGAAAAUGGAAUUAAAAUUAAAGAAUGAAAAGACCUUUUGCCACCGGUAGUGGCUCCUUGGUUGAUCGAUGAUCGGCUCCGACGUUUUGCUGCGGCUUGGCGGCUCGAUUAAAUUAAAAAAAAAAUGAAAACUGAAUUUUUUUUUUUUUUUUUUUUGUCUUUAAAACAAGAUAAUAAUAAUUUUGGGUUUUGAUCUAAAAAGUGUUUCCACACUUCACACGGCUUCGCGCCUAGUUCAGGAGAUCAACAUAGAUUGCGAAGAAACCGGAGUGUGUAUAUUCUAUUGUACUCUAAUUACUAUCCUGCCACUGAAUUUAAUAUGCAGCAAUUAUUAUUAGACUAGUAGUACUUCAUAUUAAAUUCAGGUACCUGUUCUCGGCUGUGAACCAAAUUAUACAAUUCUAAAUUCUAAAUAUUUGAGGAAAACGCCUAUAUUUUGAAUCUUGAUCAACUGAAAUAAUCUGAGCAAGUUGGUGCCGUCAAAACAAUGUGCUUGGACAAUUGAUUUGAUCUUUAUAAGUUAUAACCAACCAAAUACAAAUGCAUGAUUAUGUACAACAUCCAAAAUUAUAUUUAAGGAAUACUGAUCUGGAUCAGGGUCUUGGAUUUUUAUUGAAAUUUGAGAAAAUUAUUAAACUAUAUAAGAUGAUCAUUAUAUUAUUUAACCGUAUGACUUAAUAGUUUUCUCAGACUUCAAUAAAAUCCAAGAUCUUGAAUUGAAAUAUUUCUAUAUAUGCAAGAACCUGAUAGGUGGAAGCAUUUUCACCUUGCAUUAUCAAUCUAAAUUAUCCAAUCCAUUAUCAAGUCAAAAGCCUAAUUUGAAUGCCUCUAUAGGUCAAGUCUUGAAGUUAGAAUUAUGAACGAGAUCUUCUCUUCACAGUUGUAGGAUUAUUUUUAUCACCCCCAGGCACCCCUCCUUUUGGUUGAGUAAGGAAUUUCUCGCAGUCCUUUACUCCAAUACGUAUAAAUUCUUUUACAAGAAGAUCGACUUGCCCAGCUACAGAAGUCCUAAAGUGCGGUGUACAGCCAUCUAAGCCCUUAUGAAUGUUCUGCACGCCACCUUUGACCAGACUCCCCACUUCAGCACCACUCAUGUAUGUUUUACAUGCAGCUAGAAUAUCAUGUGCACGCUUGUAGAAGUGGCCGAUAACAAAGUCCUUGAAAUGCUGCACCCAAAGAAGAACUUGAUGAGUUCAUCUUCAAAACAAGAAAUGGAGGCCCCCCUUCCCUUUUAGUUCAUUCAUAACCGAUGAAGCAACAUAAAAAGAACUCAGUUAGGAGUAAUGAUGCAGCAAUUAUUUUACUCUGUUCAGUUCUUAGAUCCCACAACAGGGAAUGUUUUUUGGUCCUACAUAAAAGUAUUAGUACUAGUUGUCAAGUCAUUACUAUAAUGAUAGAUUCCACCUGUACUAUAUAUUUUGAUCAGUCCAGGAGGAAAUAUUUAUAUACAAUUUUCUAUUUUAGGAGUCCUAGUCCUCCAAUGCAUGAGUUACCUUUUUCUGACUCAUUGUUGAGACACCAGAUGUCCUUGUUGCGACACUCGAUGCCCUCAGGAUUGCAAAUUAUAAACAGAAAUAUAAAACAUAAUCCACAAUUCCUAUAACCAGAUCCGGAUCUCCACAAAAGCAAACACCUUUUAAGUACUUACUGCAAACUGAUGCUCUUAAGGAUUCAGUCUGAGGAUUCACUUCCCAUUAUUUGCACAUGAAGCUUUAAGUUAAAAGAUCAAUUUUUUAAGGACCAUAGAACUAUGGGAUGCAAGCACUGGGUUAAACUUCUCAAAAGCAAGCAAACAUACAGCCACCUUUACUUAAGAUAUCAAUAAAAUGCUAUGCAUUAACUUAAAUUUGUAGUCCGCUUACAAUUAAAUUAAUUCAAGAGUGUUUUAAAAUUUACAUGACGCACUCUACUUGACUGCACCUACACCGUCUUAUUGUUAUUGAAUGUAGCUGGCUAGAGCAGAUAAUACACCUUUCUAGGAAAAAUGAGAGAGAUUUGCUAAUAGAACUACUAUUGUAACUCCUCCAACAGAUUAUCAAACAAUUCUUAGUUGCAUGAAUCAAUAAACAGAAAAUAAGCCAUAACAUACCUUUGGAGGUCUCCUCAAGGUGUACAGCAUCGUUUUCAGUGAUAAGAUAAAUGUACUUUCAUUAUACUUAUGAGACUCCACUUCACCAUGUGCCGUGUUAUUCCAACUUGCAUAACCAGGUUCAUUAAAAUAAGGCUUUUGAUUCAAGAUCAGUGCUUGUAUAGAGACCAAAACUUGUAGCAUGGUUGACAUAUUAGGCAUCCACUUCUCAUUCUUAUUACCGGUCCAGGUGUUAAGAAGACUGAGGCAUACCUUCCCGCAAUUGUAUAAAUUUGGAUUGAGUCGAAGGCCACCAGAGUGGUAGUACACAUUCUAACAAAACCAAAUCCUAGUCAUCAGACCGAAAGCAUCCAACAGGUGUAAAAUAAUCCCACUUAUAAACAAAGCACAGUAGCAUACCGGUGGUACAUUAGGAUAGCUACUAGGGAAGAAAACAUCAAAGAAAAACAGGCCAUCGUGGUAGGGAGUGCCUUCUGCUCCUACAAUUACAGCCCUCAAAAGAUCCAUCCUUGACUCGUAAACCGUCACAAAAAUUGUAUCUAUUCAAGUAAUAAAUUGGACAAACAAAGCGUUGCUGAUAAUAUUAGCAUAAUAUUGAGCAGAGAUUUGUUGAGGGUGAGUGAGAAGAAGACAACUAUUCCAUAGUUAUUUUUUUUUAUUAUAUUGUAGUUAGUGGCAAUAAUCAUGAUAAAGAAUCUGGGAUAUCAAUUUAUGAGGCGUGGCUAUUAAAGAACAAGAGUAUAAAGCAUUAAACCUUACCUGGCAAAUCAUUUUCCAGGAUUUUCCACUCUUCCUGAAUUCGCUUCGCCCAUUUAUUUGUAGGCUAUCAGAAAAGAAAAAAAAUAAAAACUAAUAAUAAUAAAAAUUAACAACAAUAAAUAUCAUCAUUACAAAAAAAAAAAAAAAGACAUGAAAUGCAUCCAACUGAUCUACUCACCUGCUUCAAAGAAGCCUUCGAAGCAUAAUGAUGGUCCGAAUGAUCUUCAACAGCAUCAAACUUUUUAAAAAGAUCGAACUUCCUCAAAAUAUCAUCUUCAUCUAAACUUUCCUUAUUAUCACUGCAAUCUUGACCACUAGGGGUAUCUGCAGGUUCUUCAGGAGACAUGUGCACAGUAUCAAAUGGAUCAUAGAAACUUGGAUGAGUAGUGUAGUUAGCAAAAGUUGAAUUCAGUUCAGCUUGCAAGGACCCAUGCCACGCAGGCAUGAAUGAUCCUACAGCAGGAGGAUAAUUCACUGUGUCCUUAAGUGCAGGCAUACCAGAAUAAAAUAAAUUACUAGAACCAACUUGAUUCUGUACAGGAGCAAGGGUACCAUGGGUCCAUAAUGAUGGCCCUACUCCAGGAGGAUGUACCAUAGGAUCAAAUUGAUUUACAUAAUUAGUGUUAGUUGAAAUCCCUGAAGCACUCAGCUUACCAUUGCUCUUGCUCUUCUCAUGAAUCCAUAGAGGAUUUGAUGAUUUUACAUGAAAUGGACCAUUCUGAGCACUACUCCCGACAUCUUGAGACGCAGCUGUAUUCUUACUAUGGGCAGAUUGUAGAUGUAACCAGGAUGAAGGUACAUCCACCUUCUUCUGCAAACUUGAACUACUCUUUGAAGCAGGAUUUACAUGUACCAAAUUACUUCCAUUAGCCGUUUUCUCUUUCCUUAGAGAAGGAUCUGCUAACCAUGGUACAGGUGCCUCCACUCCAGCCGGGAUAUUCGCAUUGUCAAAAUACGCUUGCACAAAGGUGUAAUCCUCAACAUCGAUGAAAUCAUCAAUAUUAACAUGCUUGUCAUCAUAAAAAUCAAGAUUGAUUAUACUAUGCGAUCCUGGGACA